GCAACCCUGAUCCAGCAAUGCCGCGUGUGUGAAGAAGGCCUUCGGGUUGUAAAGCACUUUUGUCCGGAAAGAAAACGCCGUGGCUAAUACCCGUGGCGGAUGACGGUACCGGAAGAAUAAGCACCGGCUAACUACGUGCCAGCAGCCGCGGUAAUACGUAGGGUGCAAGCGUUAAUCGGAAUUACUGGGCGUAAAGCGUGCGCAGGCGGUUCGCUAAGACAGAUGUGAAAUCCCCGGGCUUAACCUGGGAACUGCAUUUGUGACUGGCGGGCUAGAGUAUGGCAGAGGGGGGUAGAAUUCCACGUGUAGCAGUGAAAUGCGUAGAGAUGUGGAGGAAUACCGAUGGCGAAGGCAGCCCCCUGGGCCAAUACUGACGCUCAUGCACGAAAGCGUGGGGAGCAAACAGGAUUAGAUACCCUGGUAGUCCACGCCCUAAACGAUGUCAACUGGUUGUCGGGCCUUCAUUGGCUUGGUAACGUA
rnacentral:rRNA from 1 species